UCGAGAAUUUUUCUCAAUGGGGGAAACCCUGAAGGAGCGACGCCGCGUGGAGGAUGAAGGCUUUCGGGUUGUAAACUCCUGUCAUUUGGGAACAAGUUGUACGUGUUUACUGCACGUGCAUUGAUAGUACCAGAAGAGGAAGGGACGGCUAACUCUGUGCCAGCAGCCGCGGUAAUACAGAGGUCCCAAGCGUUGUUCGGAUUCAUUGGGCGUAAAGGGUGCGUAGGUGGCGCCGUAAGUCGGGUGUGAAAUUUCGGAGCUUAACUCCGAAACUGCAUUCGAUACUGCGGUGCUUGAGGACUGGAGAGGAGACUGGAAUUCAUGGUGUAGCAGUGAAAUGCGUAGAGAUCAUGAGGAAGACCAGUGGCGAAGGCGGGUCUCUGGACAGUUCCUGACACUGAGGCACGAAGGCCAGGGGAGCAAACGG
rnacentral:rRNA from 1 species